rnacentral:rRNA from 1 species
AUGAGGUGUGUCACAUCUGUGUCUUUUUCGGUCAUCUUCAACGGUGGCAAACAGGAGGAGUUCAGGCCCUCCCGUGAUCUCAGACAGGGUUGCCCUAUAUCCCCAUAUCUAUUUCUAUUGGCUGCUGAGGGGCUCUCAUGUCUUCUGAAAUCCACGAGACCUGACGAGAGUGUGAAUGGAAUCACGGUGGCGGCUGGUGCACCACAGGUAAAUCACUUGCUUUUUGCAAAUGACAGCCUUCUAUUUUUCAAUGCUACACCGGAGAUGGCAAAUAGAGUGGAUACCCUUCUUCAAAGGUACUGUGCGGCAUCAGAGCAGCGCAUCAACAAGGAGAAAUCCUCCAUUUUCUUUAGUAAGGGUUGCUCUGAAUCCUCGAGGCAAGAGAUCAAACAACUUCUCCAAGUUCAAAAUGAGAAGCUCUCCGAAAAGUACCUUGGACUCCCUGCCGACGUGGGAAGAGCUAAGGAGGGGUCUUUCAAAUAUUUGAAGGACAGGAUCUGGAAGCAAGUACAAGGCUGGAUGGAGAAGGCACCUUCUAUUGGAGGGAAGGAGGUGCUCGUCAAGUCCGUGGCACAAGCAAUCCCGACAUAUUCCAUGGCCUGUUUUAAGCUCCCACGAGGCUUGUGCCAACACAUCAAUGGUUUCUUGAGGAAGUUUUGGUGGGGAUCAAAAAAUGGCGAGAGGAAAACGGCUUGGGUCUCCUAG